GGCGUAGUCGAAUGGAUGAACGGGUCGAUAUUCCCGUACCGGCUUUCGGACCGACCAACAGCCCGUGUGAACAAGGGCCAUCCGAUACGGUUGAUGGGGGCUUCGGCCUCCUGAUUCCGUUGCUGUUUGGCCUGGACGCGCAUGGGUUGAGCGUUUCAGGAGUGACGCGGACGGGUAGCCGGCCGGGGAGGUGGUUUUCCCUGGUCAAGCGUGUGGCCCCGCCCCCAGGCAAAUCCGGGGGCUUCAUGGGGUGAGGCGUGAUGAUGGGCGCUUUCAUGGCGUGAUAUCCGGUGAUCCCGUCGGCCGAGAAAAGCUUCGGCGCGAGGUCCGUUGCCGCCCGUACCCCAAACCGACACAGGUGGUCUGGUAGAGUAUACCGAAGCGAUCGAGCGAAUCCUGGUCAAGGAACUCGGCAAAUUGCUCCCGUGCCUUCGGCAUAAGGGAGACCCCCUGCGGUGAUGAGCGGCGGGGGGUGGCACAGGCCAGGGGGUAGCGACUGUUUACCAAAAACACAGGAGCGUGCGAAGGCGCAAGCCGCUGUAUACGCUCUGACGCCUGCCCGGUGCCGGAAGGUUAAGAGGAUCCGUCAGCUUUCUGCGAAGCGGUGAAUUCAAGCCCCGGUAAACGGCGGUGGUAACUAUAACCAUCCUAAGGUAGCGAAAUUCCUUGUCGGGUAAGUUCCGACCUGCACGAAUGGCGUAACGACUUCCCCACUGUCUCGACCAGGAGCUCGGCGAAAUUGCAGUACGAGUAAAGAUGCUCGUUAAGCGCAGAAGGACGAAAAGACCCCGGGACCUUUACUAUACCUUGGUAUUGGCAUUAGGCGCGGAUUGUGUAGCAUAGGCGGGAGGCUUCGAGGCGGGUGCGCCAGCAUCCGCGGAGCCGCAAGGUGAAAUACCGCUCUGUUCUCGUUUGAUGUCUAACCUCGAACAGUCAUCCUGUUCAGGGACAGUGCCUGGCGGGUAGUUCAACUGGGGCGGUUGCCUCCCAAAGAGUAACGGAGGCGCUCAAAGGUCCGCUCGGCCCGGUUGGCAAUCGGGUGUCGAGUGUAAUCGCACAAGCGGGCUUGACUGCGAGAUCGACGGAUCGAGCAGGGACGAAAGUCGGAGAUAGUGAUCCGGUGCCGGCGCACGGGCGCGGCAUCGCUCAACGGAUAAAAGGUACCCCGGGGAUAACAGGCUGAUCAUUCCCAAGAGUCCAUAUCGACGGGAUGGUUUGGCACCUCGAUGUCGGCUCGUCGCAUCCUGGGGCUGGAG
rnacentral:rRNA from 1 species